GAAGUCCGCCAGACCGUCGCUGCCCGCCCGGUGAAAGCCGGAACGGGGAGAGGAAAGUCCGGGCUCCAGAGAGCGGGAUGCCGGGUAACCCCCGGCCGCAGCAGCCGCGGCUUCGCCGCCGCGGUCAAGGCGAGGAACAGGGCCACAGAGACGAGUCGCUUCCGGUCACACGGAAGCGGGUGAAACGCGGCAACCUCCAUCCGGAGCAACGCCAAAUAGGCGGACCAUGACGUGGCUCGCGUCGUCCGCGGGUAGGCGGCUCGAGCGUUCCGGCAACGGAACGCCUAGAGGAAUGACGGUCAUAGCGCGCGCGAGCGCGCCGUAACAGAACCCGGCUUACCGGCGGACUUCGACU
rnacentral:RNase_P_RNA from 1 species